GGGCCCAUAGCUCAGUUGGUUAGAGCACCUGACUCAUAAUCAGGGGGUCCCAGGAUCAUGCCCUGGUGGGCCCA
rnacentral:tRNA from 1 species